ACUUGGGGCCCUUCAGCUUCCCUUCUGGACCUUCAAGGCUCACAUCUGGGACUUCAACAUCCACCUUGGGUCCUGAGACAUCAACGUCAGCCUUGGGCAAGUUCACAUCCACUUCUCGGCCCUCUCCUUUGAAGCCAGGCAUGCUAAACUUGGGCAUUUUCAUCUUGGGCAUCUUCAGGUGCCAGUCUGGGCCUUGAACCUCCACAUCUGGGACAUCAAUGUCCAUUUUGGCACUUUUAAGUUCAACAUCAGGAACUUUAAUCUCACUUUCAACCUUU
rnacentral:lncRNA from 1 species